rnacentral:rRNA from 1 species
AACGAACGCUGGCGGCAUGCCUAACACAUGCAAGUCGAACGAGACCUUCGGGUCUAGUGGCGCACGGGUGCGUAACGCGUGGGAACCUGCCCUUAGGUUCGGAAUAACUCCCCGAAAGGGGUGCUAAUACCGGAUAAUGUCUUCGGACCAAAGAUUUAUCGCCUUUGGAUGGGCCCGCGUUGGAUUAGCUAGUUGGUAGGGUAAAAGCCUACCAAGGCGACGAUCCAUAGCUGGUCUGAGAGGAUGAUCAGCCACACUGGGACUGAGACACGGCCCAGACUCCUACGGGAGGCAGCGGUGGGGAAUAUUAGACAAUGGGCGAAAGCCUGAUCCAGCAAUGCCGCGUGAGUGAUGAAGGCCUUAGGGUUGUAAAGCUCUUUUACCCGGGAUGAUAAUGACAGUACCGGGAGAAUAAGCUCCGGCUAACUCCGUG